AAAUAAUUGUUUACAAGACUCAAAACCAAAAAUUUUGUUUGCAAAUAGUGACUGAUGUGCCAUAUGAUGUAGAUUUUGGAUAUUGUGCUUUUCCAGAGAAAUGGCCCAAAAUGGAAAGCAUCUGCAGACAAUGACUGAUAUGUUUUUUGAUGCAGAUGUUUAAAAUGAUGCUUUUGAAGGAAAAAUAUCCAAGCUAAAUGAGGUUUCCUGAGAAAAGUGUUUGUCUCACAUGGAAAAGCCAUUGUCUAAGAUUAUACAUAUUAAGCACCAGUGUUCAGACAUAGGUUAACUUCCUAGAUAGACGAUUGAGGACCAAUAGUGUCAACGGAAAAAAAUCUACGCCAUGAAUAUUGCUUUAAUCAAUACUGGUUUAGAAAUGAUAAUGAAACUCUGGUACAUUUUUUAUUGAUCGUGUGGUUUUCAUGUAUUCUCCCAAAAAUGAAGAUAUGAGAGAAUUAAUACACUUUUUACGUGUACAUGUACGUGUAAAUUCAGUAGCAUUGAAAGUUGGGUUAUACAAUGUACAUAUUUUGCUGUUUUAAUGUUCCUAAACGAUCAUUUUGCCUUGUUCAUAUUAAUAUUUAAAUGUUUUAGUAAUACUCAAUAAAAAGUCAUAGUC